AUAAAUAAGUUGUUUAAGUAGCACACAAGAGAGAUAUUGACAUUAUGGUCAUAGAUUAUAAGGAAAGAUAUUACUUUUUCAUUGUUAGGAUUUUGACAAGGCUCAGUGCUCAUUUGGGAAGUGAAAAGUUUCGAAGGUCUCUCUGUUCAAGUCGAGAAGUGAAAGCUGUUGAACUAUCAUAAAAAGAUAUAUGGAAAUCUGGCUCGGCAAGAUCAGUUUGACAUCCAAGACAGUGAAGAGCUUAACAGAAUGAAGGAAGAAAAUGCCAAUCUACAAGAAAAGCUGAAUGAUGCAGGAGGUUGUGAUUUCCAAGUCGUACAGCUGUCUACUGUGCCUUCCUUGAGAUGAAGCAUGACUUGCUGCAAAUGGAACAUCAAGCUCUAAUGUACCCAAACGCCGGAUGUGGACAAGACCAUGGUUGUUUACGCUUCAACUCAGUUUCCUGAGUAUACGCAUAGUGUGAUUGCUCGUUGUCUUGGUGUUCCUGAGCAUAAUAUCUGUGUGAUAACAAGAAGGCCUUCGGUGGCUAGGCAGUAAGAAAUAUGCCAGUGAGUACCUAUUAACAGAAGAAAAGUUUUGAAACAUUUGCAAGGCUCAACACUUUUUUUUGUAAGGUCCCUUUGCUCAAGUCGAGAAGAGAAAACUGUUGAAUCUUUUAGUGGUAUUUAUUCUUAUGUUGGAUUGAACACCAGGACUAUGGAUGUAAUAGCUUGUAUUGUUGAGACUUUAGGUCCUAUGUUCGCAUGACUUCAAGACGUGUCACUUGAGUCUAAGAUUGCUUCUUUAUACAAUGACGUUCCUUUUACUCUGGA